GACGAACGCUGGCGGCGCGCUUAACACAUGCAAGUCGAACGGAAAGGCCUGCUUUCCCUUGUGGCUUGCGGGUACCCGAUUGGCAACCGGGGGAGUAAUCGGGGGGUGAUCUCCCCCCAACUUGGGUAUAAGCCUGGGAAACUGGGUCUAAUUCCCGAUAGGCCUGCAGGGGGGUGCCGGUGGUGGAAAACGAUUUUCUAGUGGUGGGGGAUGAGCUCGCGGCCUAUCAGCUUGUUGGUGGGGUAAUGGCCUACCAAGGCGGCGACGGGUAGCCGGCCUGAGAGGGUGGACGGCCACAUUGGGACUGAGAUGCGGCCCAGACUCCUACGGGAGGCAGCAGUGGGGAAUAUUGCACGAUGGGCGGAAGCCUGAUGCAGCGACGCCGCGUGGGGGAUGACGGCCUUCGGGUUGUAAGCUCCUUUCGACCGCGAGGAAGCCACCUGGUUGGAAGGGUGGUGACGGUAGUGGUAGAAGAAGCACCGGCUAACUACGUG
rnacentral:rRNA from 1 species